GGGACAACCCGCCGAAAGGCGGGCUAAACCCGCGUACAUGCCACCGGGGCAUCCCGGAGGCAGGAAAGGCUUCGGCCGGACAGGGAUGGGCAUGCGGCGCAUUAGGCAGUAGGCGGGGUAACGGCCCACCUAACCGACGAUGCGUAGGGGUUCUGAGAGGAAGGUCCCCCACACUGGUACUGAGACACGGACCAGACUCCUACGGGAGGCAGCAGUGAGGAAUAUUGGUCAAGGGUCGGGAGACUGAACCAGCCAAGCCGCGUGAGGGAUGAAGGUACAGAGUAUCGUAAACCUCUUUUGUCAGGGAACAAAGGCGGGGACGUGUCCCCGGAUGAGUGUACCUGAAGAAAAAGCAUCGGCUAACUCCGUGCCAGCAGCCGCGGUAAUACGGAGGAUGCGAGCGUUAUCCGGAUUUAUGGGGUUUAAAGGGUGCGCAGGCGGUCUGUUAAGUCAGCGGUCAAAGCCCGGGGCUCAACCCCGGCCCGCCGUUGAAACUGGCAGUCUCGAGUUGGAGAGAAGUAUGCGGAAUGCGCGGUGUAGCGGUGAAAUGCAUAGAUAUCGCGCAGAACUCCGAUUGCGAAGGCAGCAUGCCGGCUCCACACUGACGCUGAGGCACGAAAGCGUGGGUAUCGAACAGGAUUAGAUACCCUGGUAGUCCACGCAGUAAACGAUGAAUAAUGGCUGUCCG
rnacentral:rRNA from 1 species